GUUGUGACUAGGGCGGCUGAACAGAAAGUGAAGUCACAAGGGUCAGAGAAGAGGACGCUCCUGGCUGGCCUUGGCUUCUCUUUGUCACCCCUGGCCCCUGGGACCUUGGGACCUGCUCCUUCCCCAACCACCACAAAGCCUGGCUCUGACCCACGCCACCGCACCAUGACUGCCAGGAGCUGUGAGCCAUGCCUGCCCAUGCUGGCCUUUGCCUCUCAGCCAGGACACUUGUCACCUCUGCCAGGCACUCUUUCAUCUCCCAAAUGCAUUUCUAUGGUCACCACCAGAGGUCAAAGAGUAACAGCAGCAACGACAUGCCCGGAGCUCCCACAGUGGAUGUGCUGUCUGUACCCGCUCCUGCUGCACCGUCACCUUGCAGGCUCCUCCUGCUUUUCUGGGUCUUCCAGGCUGGACUCCUCUCCUCCAGUCCUUGGUGAAGCUCACUGAUGUCCCUAUGGCAGCAUACUCUACCUCCUGCUUCAUAUUCACCACCGCCUGGCAAGCUGUGGGUACGCACGGUUGUAUUCACCGGACAGUGUCUAGAACAUAGGAACGGGGACUGGGACAUCUAGGUCUGACCCAGAGGGAAUGCUCAGGAAAUGAUGACAAACAGAAAUGGAUGAGACAACGGAAGUUCAGAG
rnacentral:lncRNA from 1 species